CGGACGGGUGAGUAAUGUCUGGGAAACUGCCUGAUGGAGGGGGAUAACUACUGGAAACGGUAGCUAAUACCGCAUAACGUCGUAAGACCAAAGAGGGGGACCUUCGGGCCUCUUGCCAUCGGAUGUGCCCAGAUGGGAUUAGCUAGUAGGUGGGGUAACGGCUCACCUAGGCGACGAUCCCUAGCUGGUCUGAGAGGAUGACCAGCCACACUGGAACUGAGACACGGUCCAG
rnacentral:rRNA from 1 species